rnacentral:rRNA from 1 species
UACGAAGGGGGCUAGCGUUGUUCGGAAUUACUGGGCGUAAAGCGCGCGCAGGUGGUCUUUCAAGUCAGUGGUGAAAGCCCGGAGCUCAACUCCGGAAUUGCCAUUGAAACUGUGAGACUUGAGGAUGAGAGAGGUGAGUGGAAUUCCCAGUGUAGAGGUGAAAUUCGUAGAUAUUGGGAAGAACACCGGUGGCGAAGGCGGCUCACUGGCUCAUAUCUGACGCUCAGGCGCGACAGCGUGGGGAGCAAACAGG